CUUAGGAACUGGUGAUGGGGGAGGUGGAGAGUGGUAGUAGUAUGGAGGCUUGGGAACUGGUGAUGGUGGAGGUGGAGAUUGGUAGUAGUAAGGAGGCUUAGGUACUGGUGAUGGAGGAGGUGGAGAGUGAUAGUAGUAAGGAGGCUUGGGCACUGGAGAUGGUGGAGGUGGAGAUUGAUAAUAGUAAGGUGGCUUAGGAACGGGUGAUGGAGGAGGUGGAGAGUGGUAAUAGUAUGGAGGCUUAGGUUUUGGUGAUGGUGGUGGGGGAGAUUGG